CCUCUGCAGUGGCUGGGGUCCUAGACCAGGGUGGCCUGGGGACAACUUCCUGGGGACAGGCCUGGAAGGGGUGCAGGAGGAGGAGRCGCAGGCACUUCCUGUAGUCGUGCUGGUGUCCAGUCUCUUUGGCCAGCAAGACUCCUAUCCCGUGGUGCCCUGGGAAGUUGAAACAGGGAGAAGAAGAGCUGUGCCCUGCAAUCCUGCCACUCCUGUGCUAUCUUCUGUCCAUCAGCCUUUCCCGAGAAGACAGAGAGCCUGGGUCAGGAACCUCUGGGAUAGACAUGUGCUUAGAAGAGAAGAAAAGGAAGCCUGACUACAAACUGGCUGCAGAUGAGCCCACAGCUGCCCUUGGAGGCCUUUGGAAGGAAGUCCUAUGUUCCCUGUACCCAACAGGCCUCUCUGCACCAAAAUGCAAACAUCAUCCUUUCCCCAGCGCAGCUGAGUUUGCUCAAGAUGGGGGCCUGGGAAGAGAAUGGUCUUCUGACUCGCACUCAGCUGGGUCCAGUGCAG
rnacentral:lncRNA from 1 species